AACGAACGCUGGCGGCAUGCCUAACACAUGCAAGUCGAACGAUACCUUCGGGUCUAGUGGCGCACGGGUGCGUAACGCGUGGGAACCUGCCCUUAGGUUCGGAAUAACUCCCCGAAAGGGGUGCUAAUACCGGAUAAUUUCUUCGGACCAAAGAUUUAUCGCCUUUGGAUGGGCCCGCGUUGGAUUAGCUAGUUGGUAGGGUAAAAGCCUACCAAGGCGACGAUCCAUAGCUGGUCUGAGAGGAUGAUCAGCCACACUGGGACUGAGACACGGCCCAGACUACUACGGGAUGCAGCAGUGGGGAAUGUUGGACAGUGGGCGAAAGGCUGAUGCAGCAAUGCCGCGUGAGUGAUGAAGGCCUUAGGGUAGUAAAGCUCUUUUAUCCGGGAGGAUAAUGACGGUACCGGGAGAAGAAGCUCCGGCUAACUCCGUG
rnacentral:rRNA from 1 species